GUCGUUGUGACGAGGCAGGCGUUAUUCACUUAACGGAAAGGCACCGUCGUUGUUGUCGUCGUCAUCGUCAUUGUCAUCCAGGUACGUGGGAAGACGCAAUCGAAUCGAUCGGCCCGAACGGGAAGAGGGUUUCCAUUAUCUGGCCGUGAAAAAAAUGAACCGGAAUUUUUUAAAUCUGAUAUAUAAAACCAAACUGAGAUAUUAUGUUUAAUGCCAGAUGGAGGAGAGCUAUCGAGCCUUUGGAUUCGGAUCGUUCGGAUUUCAAAGAACUCAAACCGCUCGGAAAUAUUUACAUGACAUUGUAAAUGCAUGGAUCUCGCGUGGGAAGUAUAAAUACUACUAACCAAAUAAUAAUUGAAAAAUGGACCUUUUUCAUUGCUAUUCUUCUGCAAAGCAAAUCCAACUACCAUUAAAAAUUUCAAAACUAUGGAAUAUAUCAACGAAGAAUAACAUAAUAUUGUAACGAUAUAUUGUUAUGCGGACGGCGAUACUAUUGUUAUUGCGAAUUCUCACAGUUCGACCGACCACAUGGGCGUGGAAUCGUGCAGGUUUGAUAGAAGAUUUGUGACGCAAUCAUCUACCGGUUAUUUCAUCUGCAAUGGAAACGACAAAUUACAGUUAUUUACGCGCAUCUACUGCCAAUGACCCAUGUGACUUAAAACCGGACACAAAAGAGUGAUGAGUCGAACGGUCGAGGACAUUGCGGUUUCGAGUCGGAGUCCGAAUUAGGAAUUUUAUCAGCAUUUCACGAAUUACAUAAAAUCCCGUUAUAAGUUCUUUUUUUUCGAUACUCAUAUACGUAUUAUUUUUUUAUUAAAUAAC